AUUGAACGCUGGCGGCAGGCCUAACACAUGCAAGUCGAGCGGAUGAAGGGAGCUUGCUUCUGGAUUCAGCGGCGGACGGGCGAGUAAUGCCUAGGAAUCUGCCUGGUAGUGGGGGAUAACGUCCGGAAACGGGCGCUAAUACCGCAUACGUCCUGAGGGAGUAAGUGGGGGAUCUUCGGACCUUACGCUAUCAGAUGAGCCUAGGUCGGAUUAGCUAGUUGGUGGGGUAAAGGCCUACCAAGGCGACGAUCCGUAACUGGUCUGAGAGGAUGAUCAGUCACACUGGAACUGAGACACGGUCCAGACUCCUACGGGAGGCAGCAGUGGGGAAUAUUGGACAAUGGGCGAAAGCCUGAUCCAGCCAUGCCGCGUGGGUGAAGAAGGUCUUCGGAUUGUAAAGCACUUUAAGUUGGGAGGAAGGGCAGUAAGUUAAUACCUUGCUGUUUUGACGUUACCAACAGAAUAAGCACCGGCUAACUUCGUG
rnacentral:rRNA from 1 species